rnacentral:rRNA from 1 species
CCUACGGGAGGCAGCAGUGAGGAAUAUUGGACAAUGGGUGCAAGCCUGAUCCAGCCAUCCCGCGUGAAGGACUAAGGCCCUAUGGGUUGUAAACUUCUUUUAUACAGGGAUAAACCUACUUACGUGUAAGUAGCUGAAGGUACUGUAUGAAUAAGCACCGGCUAACUCCGUGCCAGCAGCCGCGGUAAUACGGAGGGUGCAAGCGUUAUCCGGAUUUAUUGGGUUUAAAGGGUCCGUAGGCGGAUCCGUAAGUCAGUGGUGAAAUCUCAUAGCUUAACUAUGAAACUGCCAUUGAUACUGCGGGUCUUGAGUGAGAUUGAGGUAGCUGGAAUAAGUAGUGUAGCGGUGAAAUGCAUAGAUAUUACUUAGAACACCAAUUGCGAAGGCAGGUUACCAAGUCUUAACUGACGCUGAUGGACGAAAGCGUGGGGAGCGAACAGGAUUAGAUACCCUGGUAGUCCACGCCGUAAACGAUGCUAACUCGUUUUUGGGGCCUUGCGCUUCAGAGACUAAGCGAAAGUGAUAAGUUAGCACCUGGGGAGUACGUUCGCAAGAAUGAAACUCAAAUGAGUAGAGCGNGAGAGNGCGACGGACGACGACGAGGGAGGAGG